rnacentral:rRNA from 1 species
AGUGAACGCUGGCGGUAGGCCUAACACAUGCAAGUCGAACGACAGCACAGUAAGAGCUUGCUCUUACGGGUGGCGAGUGGCGGACGGGUGAGGAAUACAUCGGAAUCUACUUUUUCGUGGGGGAUAACGUAGGGAAACUUACGCUAAUACCGCAUACGACCUACGGGUGAAAGCAGGGGAUCUUCGGACCUUGCGCGAUUGAAUGAGCCGAUGUCGGAUUAGCUAGUUGGCGGGGUAAAGGCCCACCAAGGCGACGAUCCGUAGCUGGUCUGAGAGGAUGAUCAGCCACACUGGAACUGAGACACGGUCCAGACUCCUACGGGAGGCAGCAGAGGGGAAUAUUGGACAAUGGGCGCAAGCCUGAUCCAGCCAUACCGCGUGGGUGAAGAAGGCCUUCGGGUUGUAAAGCCCUUUUGUUGGGAAAGAAAAGCAGCAGGUUAAUACCCCGCUGUUCUGACGGUACCCAAAGAAUAAGCACCGGCUAACUUCGUG